rnacentral:rRNA from 1 species
ACUCCUACGGGAGGCAGCAGUGGGGAAUAUUGCACAAUGGGCGCAAGCCUGAUGCAGCAACGCCGCGUGAGCGAUGAAGGCCUUCGGGUCGUAAAGCUCUGUCCUCAAGGAAGAAUAAAUGACGGUACUUGAGGAGGAAGCCCCGGCUAACUACGUGCCAGCAGCCGCGGUAAUACGUAGGGGCAAGCGUUAUCCGGAAUCACUGGGCGUAAAGGGUGCGUAGGCGGUUUUCAAGUCAGAAGUGAAAGGCUAUGGCUCAACCAUAGUAAGCUUUUGAAACUGUUAAACUUGAGUGCAGGAGAGGAAAGUGGAAUUCCUAGUGUAGAGGUGAAAUUCGUAGAUAUUAGGAGGAACACCAGUGGCGAAGGCGACUUUCUGGACUGUAACUGACGCUGAGGCACGAAAGCGUGGGAGGCGAACAGGAUUAGAUACCCGUGUAGCACAGAG